rnacentral:ncRNA from 1 species
GAUUACGGUGGCCCUUCGGGGUCUUAAAAGGGAAGCCGGUGAGAGACCGGGACUGUGCCCGCAGCUGUGUUAUCCUUAACGGUCCGGAUUAUGCCAUUGCCAUUCGGUGAGAAGGCCCGGGCCGGGAGAAGUCAGAAGACCUGCCGGAAUCA